rnacentral:rRNA from 1 species
GAUGAACGCUGGCGGCGUGCCUAAUACAUGCAAGUCGAACGCUGAAGGAGGAGCUUGCUCUUCUGGAUGAGUUGCGCACGGGUGAGUAACGCGUAGGUAACCUGCCUGGUAGCGGGGGAUAACUAUUGGAAACGAUAGCUAAUACCGCAUGACAUCAGUUAUUGCAUGAUAACUGUUUAAAAGGGGCAACUGCUCCACUACCAGAUGGACCUGCGUUGUAUUAGCUAGUUGGUGAGGUAACGGCUCACCAAGGCGACGAUACAUAGCCGACCUGAGAGGGGGAUCGGGCACACUGGGACUGGGACACGGCCCAGACUCCUACGGGAGGCAGCAGUAGGGAAUUUUCGGCAGUGGACGGAAGUCUGACCGAGCAACGCCGCGUGAGUGAAGAAGGUUUUCGGAUCGUAAAGCUCUGUUGUAAGAGAAGAACGAGUGUGAGAGUGGAAAGUUCACACUGUGACGGUAGCUUACCAGAAAGGGACGGCUAACUACGUG